rnacentral:misc_RNA from 1 species
AAAAACGCGUACCACAGUUGUGUAGUUUUCCUCCACCGUUCUUCCCCACGCCCCACACACACUCACGCCCCACCUCCAACUCAAAGAAAAAAGAAAGCUAAGAAAAGCAAGCAAACACACGAUUGUGACCGAACACUCCCUUCCCCCUCCCUUUCUAAGCGUCCCGAGAUCAUUAUCAUCAGCCUCUCGUCCUUUUACGAGUGAUUUGCCAUAACCCUUCUUGUGGCCUUCUACCACCCUUUGCAUUGUCUGCUGCGUGAUCCAUUCCUUGUCUAUCUUUCCCUUUUUCGUUGUUUCGUGGUCAGGCACAUUACCUCACCAACAUUGUUCUUUUUUUCACGGCGUGCGCGUGCGUGUGUGUGUGUGUAGCGUUCUCUCGUAUCUGAGCUCCUCUUGUGUUCUCACUCAUCUCUUUUCCUCUCUUCUUCUUGUUUCGGUUGUAACCCUCCUACUCCUCCUCCUCCUUUCCCUGGACUGGAGAUCUACACCGCCCGCGUAUCGCGUACGCACAUCUGCGUGGUGGCGAACAAGGGCACGCCAACGAAAAUUAAAAAAAAAGCGAAAACGCCAGAGCGCAGACACUCGCUUUAGCACGUGCGCUCCGUGUUCCUCUUUCCACCGGCACACACGCGUACACACACACACAUACACAUACACAUACACAUACACAUACACGCACAAAAGGAAAACAAAGAGACGUGUUGAGUGUGUACCAUCUUGUUUGUUUUUGUUGGGGUGCGUGUGCCCCCACCCCCUUUCAUUCCUCUCUCUAUAUCUCUCUUCCCUCUCCCCGCGCUCCCCCCCAUCCUCUUCUUCCUUCCCUUUCUCUCUCUCUGCUUGUGGUGCUUGUCUGCUCGCCUUCGCCAAUACAGUGUACACGGACGCUCUACUGCCGCUACUCGAGCACAGACACUCACACCCCUCCCUCACCACCCUCCCCUUCUCACCUCCGCGCCCACACACGUCUUUUAGUUCACAUACCAGGCAGCGUCAAGCACGCUUACCGAGAGUUAAGCCUUGCCUUCUGCUACGGCGUCGCUGAGAGCGAAGUGAACUUUCUUUCUCGCGAGUGUGCGCGCACGCUUGAGCUCAGAAGACAGGGAAAACAGGGAGCGAGGUGUACGCAUCAAAAACGAGCAAUACCAAAGGCAACGCUCUCCCCCCUCCUCCCCGACUGAGACGCACACUCUCACUCAAUUAAAUUCCACGGGCUACUCAAUAGAGAACAGCGCCAAGGCGAACCCGUACCCGUGCACAGCGUAGAAGUCCGUUUGCCGAGAGGUGAUCAUCUCACCUCCGUCUCUCUCUUUCGGUUUUACUUGAUUUCAUCUUUUUUUUUUGUGCUGUAGGUUUGCAUUUUUAGUGUUCAAGGUCCUCCUGGAGCUCGCCUUCGGUGUUGUCACCCUUCUCUUCCUCCCCUCCCACCUCCUCCUCCUGUUGCGCGCGUGUGAGUCUGUGCUAUCAUUUUUUGUUUCGCGCGUGCGUUUGAUAUCUCCUUAUAGCAUUUCCCACCUGUCGCCCUCCUGCUCCAUCUUUUUUUUUUCGCGUGUGUGUGUUCCUUUCCCAUACCUCAUCUCCUCCUCCUCCUACCCCCUCCCCCUUACUCGUUCUGUUUGAAGAGAUUGCUCGCGUGCCCUGCUACGGUUUGGCAUCAGCGCACUUGGCUAGUGCGGUCUCUCGCCCUCCCUCCCUCUUCCCGGCUUUGGGGCACAGCGAAUCUCCCCCCUUUCGUGUUUCUCUAUUACGUGCCAUUACAUUGCGUCGACCAGCCGCAACGCCUUUCCUCCCACAACAAUGACCGCAGUCAGUGUCAACGAAAAUGAGCUGGUGCACCUCAGCGUGGGCGACUUUGUCGCCAUCCUCACCCAUCACAUGAAGGAUGGCAAGCUGCACUGGAUCUUGGGCUCCGUCGAGACGCCACCGUACCUGCGCGAUGUCGAGAUCCGCCUGUGGGCGAAGCAGCGGUUCGAGUACUACGACGAGGGCGACGCCCCGGCAGACCCGGAGACCGCGGCGCUGAUGGAUCGCAUUGCCCAAGUGAAGGACGAACUCCGUAAGAGCAUUGACCAGGCCGAGGACCUCACGGAGCAGCUGCGCGACCGCCGCGCUGCCAUUAUUCAGAAGAUCGCCGAGGCUGACAGGUACGUGGCGGAGUCGAAGGCCGUCCGCGACGCUGCGCGCGACGACGUCGAGAGCAUCUCCGAUCGCAACUGGCAGGAGCUGAAGUCGUACCGUAUUCCACCCAAGAUGGUGUCAGUAAUAAUUCGCGCCGUGAUGUUGCUGCUCUCGGAGGACGAGGCCCGCACGUGGCCGCAUAUGCAGCGAGUGCUGCGCGACUUUUACUUCAAGCGCCGCAUUACAAGCUACGACCCCGUUACGCAGCUCUCCCCUGAGCGCCGUGACUACAUUCUGCAGGAGUGCGUGAGCAAGAAGAGCUUUCGCUAUGACCGCGCCAUGCAGGGAAGCGUGGCGGUGGGCCCCAUCUACUACUGGGUGCUGGCUCAGCUCGACAGCGGCGAGGCCCAGUCGCAGAAGGAAGACGUCGAGCAGGAGAAAAUUGCACGCCAGAAAGAGCUGCGCGGUGUGCUGAAGCAAAUUAGCGAGCAACAGGAGCGGAUAUCGGAAUACCAGGAGCUCAUGGAUGACCUGGACGAUCAGCUGCGCCUGUGCAACCAGCGCAACAGCGACGGCAGCUCCGUCGCCUCGCACUCGCGCCGCCGCAUCUCGAUCAGCGACCGCUAUGCGGAGAGCUUCGCAGCUCGAGAGGGGAAGGAGUACCUUCGUCCAGCCUUCUACGCAUGGAAGCCGACGGACCGCGUCAUCAUUGUGCUUCGCAAGAAUAUCGUCUGCAACUUCGGCGCCGUCACCUCGCAGGAGCAGGAGGAGGGCUACAACAUGAGCGAGCCGCAGAUCCGCAUGCUGGAUGAAGCCCUCAUACGCUCUCAGCAGGCCCUGGAGACGAUUUGCGGCGACAACGAGGGCGAGGACGAUGCCCUCGAGGAGGACAUGCUCAAGCAGAACGACAACGAGACCGACCACACGGUGCGCAAAGAUGAGGACAUUCUGGAAGAGCGCCAGCGCAACGCUGCUGAGGGCAAGCCCACGCCGAUUCCGACGCCGCAGGCGAGCGACACGAACAAGGUCGGCAUAGGCGCCGCCGAGGCGACGUCGAAGCUUCAGCGCACGUUUGAGGGAAAGAACUGGCACCGCAUUCUCGACCGCAAGCGUGAGGCCAUCGAGGCUGCUUUCACAGAGGACUCCUCAGAGUGCCUGAAAGUGCCGCCGUACUCGAUCAUGAUCGAAAGCCUCAUGGUCGGGAGCCUUAUCGUCGACUUCUCGGCCCAGCACGACGGCCAGCGCUCCGACGCGGAGCUGCAGGAGCGCGUGAAGACUUUCGAGUUCCCGAAGGUCAUGUCACUCUACGAUGAGGAGGACGAGGAGGACGACGAUGGCCCGGAGCAUCAGAUGAAGUUCGGCGGCGACCGCUGGGCCGACAUGACCCCGGAGCACCAUGACGAGAUCGAGGCCGCUUUCCUGGCGGACACAAGCGCCGCGACUGGUGCGCUGCAGGACGAGAUUGCCGUCCAAGACAUUCGCGCUGACGCGGACGAAGGCCUCACGGUGGACUACUCGCUGCUGGACAAGGACCGUGACCCCGAGGAAGUGCAGGAGCAAGUGGACGCUUACGCAUACCCUGCUGUGUGGGCUCUGUACCAGCGGCUCGCUGGGCUGGACGCGGCGGCGCCGAUCCACCAGGUGCGCUUCCGCGGCGAGCGGUGGGCGGACAUCAUGCCCGGGGCUGAGGAAGCGAUCAGGCAGGCGUUUGCUGAGGACACCGCCGACGCGCUCGGCAUUGCGCCGCAGCAGGUAAUCCCCGACGAGAUCCGCUACGAGAAGGGACUGACGGUUCCCUACACCGUGCUCGACUGCUCGCUGGAUGGCGACGAGGUCGAUGCCAAGGCGGAGGACUAUCAUUACCCCAACACGUGGGCGCUGUACGACCGCCUUGUGGCGGAGGCCGUCGGCGCGGCCUACCAAAAGAGCUUCGAGGGCGAGCACUGGGAGACGGUGCUGCACGCGGCGCGGCCAGAGGUGUCAGAAGCAUUUUGCACAGACACGGCGAACGCCGUCAAGUCCGAGCCCGGCGACGUCGACCCUCGCUCGGUCGACACUGACCAGAACCGCCUGCUCGUCUCCUACAACGUUGGCGACUCGCAGCAGCGUGCCGAUGAGGUGCGUGCGGACACCCAGGAGUACCCCUACCCAGAAGUGUGGGCGUUGUACCAGCUCGUCAUCGCGGAGGAGGCCGAAGGCACGCGGAAGCUGUCCCAGACGUUCGAUGGAGAGGCGUGGGACGCGAUCAACGCGGAGAUGCCGGAGCAGGUGCGCGAGGCCUUCACGGAGGAUGUGUCUGUCGCCACUCGCGUCAAUCCGGCAUGCGUGACGAUACGCGACAUCAAGACGAGCAAGAAGGGCAUGACCGUUGAGUAUGGUAUUGUUCGUGAAGAGGGUCAGUCCGCGUACGCGACGCGCAAGGCAGCGAAGAACUUCGACUACCCGGUUACGUGGAACCUGUACGAGGCGAACAAGAAGAGCGCGCCGGGGCACGCCCUCAGCGGGUUUGGCGAGGGCGAGUCUGCCAUCUUCGAGCGCCGCUUCGAGGGCGAUGACUGGGACAUCGUUGUCGAGGGCUGUCGUGAGGAGCUCAGUGACGCCUUCCGCGCGGAUACGGCGCGUGUGCUGGGUGUGCCGAAGCAGAGCGUGCGCAUCAUCAGCAUAGAGAUAGGCAGCCCGAACGUCAAGUACCAGCUCGUAGACCCGCCGUGUGAGGACAGAGAGAUCGAGCGGCGCAUGGAGGAGGACGAGUUACCUGAGGUGAUGGAUCUGUACCGUCGCUGCACACGCGCUGAGGCCGAGGGUGCGACGCCGGCGCUGCAGGACCUUGAGGCGAUGCCGCCGAAGGUGUUCGACGGAGACGAGUGGGGCUUUGUAAUGGCGAACCAGCGCGCGGAGCUGGAGAAGGCGUUCGUGAAGGACACGGCCGACGCCCUUGGUGUGAGCGAUGACCAGGUGAGGGUGAAGGAGAUGAAGGUGGGUCCGUACGCGCUGCGGGUGCAGUACAGCGUGCGCGACUGCCCAUCCGACGAAGCGGCGGCGCAGGCGACCGUGGAGGACUACGCUUACCCAUCCAUGUGGGAGAUCUACCCGGACGAGGAGGAUCUGGGCAACUGCCAGAAGACGUUCGACGGCACAGGCUGGGAGGCAAUCGUUGCCUCCCGCGAGGAUGACGUGAGGGCGGCCUUCGCGAAGGACGUGGCUGAAGCCCUCAAAGCGGGCGAGCAGAGUGUUGUGGUCAAGUCCGUCCACGCCAACGCUGAGGGCCUCGAGGUGCGCUACAACGUGACGAGCGAGGCGUGCGAUAGCGAGCAGAUUAUGGAGAUGCAGCAGGAGUACGGCUACCCGAACACGUGGGCGCUCUAUGAGGAAGACGAAGGCAACUGGGUGACAACGUCGCACCAGCUUGGCUUCGAGGGCGAGGACUGGGUGUACGUCGUGCAGGACAAGAUGCCAGAGCUGCAAGAGGCGUUUGUCAGUUGCACCGCCGAACUAUUUCAUCUGCGUCCGGAGCACAUUACGAAUACCAAGUACACAUUGGGCAGCCUCAUCGUGGACUUUGAGCUCACACACCCGGCGAGGAUGAGCGAGGAAGAGAUCAGGAGGCAGCUCGUCACGUGCCCGUACGAGCCGGUCUGGGAACUCUACGGUUACCACCCCUGGGUCCCGACGGAGGUCACGGAGACGACGCACAAUAUCUGCUUCGAGGGGCCGGGCUGGGCGACCGUGCUGGAGUCACAGCGCGAGGAGCUAGAGGAGUGCUUCAAGCAGGGCACGGCGGCGGCGCUCGAGGUCGAGCCGUCUGACGUGCGCAUCGACUCGGCCGACUGCGCCGAGGAGUGCCUGUUCAUCCGCACAACCGUCACCCACCACAUCUUCCAGGACAACGAGCUCCUGCAGGAGCAGCUUACCCGCUACCCAUACGAGGAGGUCUGGAAACUCUACGCCGAGGACCCGAACCAGAGCUGGACUGUCACCUCGCACCAGGUCGGGUUUGACGGCGAUGACUGGAUGUACAUUGUGUCUGCCAAGAAAGAGGCGCUGGAAAAGGCCUUCCGCACGUGCACUGGUGAAUCCCUAGACCUGACGGACGAGCACAUUACGAACAUCGUCUUUGAGGCCAACGAGGCGGCGCUGCUGACCACCUUCGAGGUGAAGCACCCGAAGGAGCAGUCGGAGAAGGAGGUGAACCGGCGACUUGCCGAGUGCGACUAUAUGCGGGUGUGGGAGCUGUACAUUGAUCACCCGUACAACCCGGAGGAGAACGAGGUGACAUCGCAUGAGAUCGGCUUCGAGGGCGAUGAGUGGAACAAGGUAAUUGCGACACAGCUGAAGCAGCUCGAGGAGGCCAUCAUGCUCGACACGUCCGAGGCGCUCGAGGUGACGCCGAACGACAUCACGUCGAUCACGACUAGCUUCGAGAACGGAAACCUACUAAUCGUGCGCCUCAACAUCCAGCACCCGGUGCUACAGGACGAGGAGCUGAUCAAAGAGCAGCUGAGCCGCUACCCGUACGAGCGUGUGUGGGCACUUUACGAGGAUGCGCCUAUCACUCCUCUUAGCGAGGAAGACGCGGUCAGAUUUAACGGUACCGGCGAGGGCGAGUCUGCCGUCUUCGAGCGCCGCUUCGAGGGCGAUGACUGGGACAUCGUUGUCGAAGGCUGCCCUGAGGAGCUCAGUGACGCCUUCCGCGCGGAGGCGGCGCGUGUGCUGGGUGUGCCGAAGCAGAGCGUGCGCAUCAUCAGCACAGAGAUAGGCAGCCUGAUCGUCAAGUACCAGAUCGUAGACCCGCCGUGUGAGGACAGAGAGAUCGAGCGGCGCAUGGAGGAGGACGAGUUACCUGAGGUGUUGAAUCUGUACCGUCGUCGCAUACGCGCUGAGGACGAGGGUGCGACCACGACGAGCCGCGUAAAGCCCGAGGGGAAGAAGAUAACGACCCUGGAGGACUGCGGGUUUGAGGGUGAGGACUGGGACUACGUGUGGUCGAUCAAGCAGGAGGCGAUGCGCACGGCCUUUGCAAAGGGUGUCGCGGACGCGCUGGGAAUCAAGCCGACGGACAUCCAGAACAUCAACAUGGAGAAGUCGGCGGACGGCAUCGUGCUCGGUGCGAACGUGACGCACCCGCUGACGCAAGACUACCAGAUGAUCCGGCAGACGCUGAAGAACCACCCGUUCGAGGAGUUGUGGGCGCUAUACGAGACGCGGCCAUACAACCCAGCUGAGUCCGUGACCACGGAGCACCUCAUCUACUUCGAGGGCGAGGAAUGGGACGCUGUGAUGGCGGGCAAACGCGAGGAGGUGGUGGAGGCGAUCCGUAAGGAUACAGCGAGUGCGCUGGAGCUGCCGGUGGACGACGUAGUGAGCGUGUGUACGAAGGUGGAGCCGACUGGACUGGCCGCUACGGUCGUCGUGAGUCACUCGCCGCUGCAGGACGAUGAACUGAUUCACGAGGAGCUGACCAAGUACGACUACGAGCGCGUGUGGGCGCUGUACUGCCCUGAGAGUGGGCCACUGCAUGGCACGAAGCACUUCGACGGCUUGAACUGGGCGGACGUAAUCGGGAGCGACAAGGAUGGUGUGAUGCAGGCGUUUCGCGACGAUACGGCCGCUGCCGUUAGCAUGCGUCCGGACGAUGUGGAUGUGGACGACAUCCGUACGACAGGCUUGGGCAUGGAUGUGGACUACACGGUGAACCUCGCCAACACGAGCGGGGAGGACAUUGAGCAUACGCUGCGGACGUACCCGUACCCGAACGUUUGGGGCCACUACCGUGUCGAAGAUGAGAUAACGACGCAGCAGAACUGCGGGUUCAAGGGUGAGGACUGGGACUACGUGUGGUCGAUCAAGCAGGAGGCGAUGCGCACGGCCUUUGCAAAGGGUGUCGCGGACGCGCUGGGAAUCAAGCCGACGGACAUCCAGAACAUCAACAUGGAGAAGUCGGCGGACGGCAUCGUGCUCGGUGCGAACGUGACGCACCCGCUGACGCAAGACUACCAGAUGAUCCGGCAGACGCUGAAGAAACACCCGUUCGAGGAGUUGUGGGCGCUGUACGAGACGCGGCCAUGCGGCCAGGGCGAUCUGAAGAGCGCCCUUGGCGGAACAGGCGACCGCGAGUCUGGCCGGCUGCAGCGUCUCUUCGAAGGCGAUGACUGGGACCUCGUACUGGAGGGCUGCCCAGAGGACGCUACGGACGCCUUCCGAAAGGGUGUGGCGGACUCCGUGCACGUGUCGAAGUCGGACGUCGUUGUAAUGGCGUGGCACCUGGGCAGCCUUAUCAUGAGUUACAAGGUGCGCAACUGCGACAUGGAGGAUGCCGAGAUCAACGAUAGGGUCCGUGCACACGAAUUCCCGGAGCUGAUGGCGUUGUACCGUGCGCGCGUGCGCCACGGCCAAAAGGGCGAGGGCGGUGCCACAGAGGGCAGCCCAAUGCGUAAGGAGAAAGUGAUUACUGUCGACAUAGUUGACGAGGCUGAGGUGCCGGAGGGGUACACGCGUGUCGCGCUGAGUGUCAGCUUCGAAGGGGAGCUCUGGGAGAAGAUUGUAAAGACGCGGACGCAGGAGUUGGCGGAUGCUUUCCGCGCUGACACUGCCAAGUCCAUUGGCGCUGCUCUGGGGGAUAUCCACAUUCGCGAGUGCUUUGUGAGCAAGGUGCUUCUGUUGGUGCACUUCAGCGCCCGCUAUGAGGCGACGGUAUCUGAGGCUGAGCUGCGCAAGAAGAUUGAUGAACACUCCUACGACAAUGUCUGGGCCCUCUACGACGAGAUGGAGGAUGCUCUCGCAGCCGACAUGUCGGAGGUCAUGGUCAAGCACUUCGUCGGCGUUCACUGGGACUUUGCGAUGGAGGCGUGCCCGACGCUUGUCGAGGAGGCCUUCAAGGAAGACACCGCCAAUGUGCUGCGCACUCAUGCCUCGAAGGUGCUCGUUGAGGACAUCGCUCUGGGCAGCCUCAUCGUGCGCUUCCGCGUGCAAGGGCUGACGAUCUCGGAGGCGGAAGCGAUGCAGAUGACGGGCAACUACGCCUACCCGAAGGUGUGGGCUCUGUACAUGUCCUGUGAGGAGGCGAACGGCCGUGCUUCAUUGAAAAGCCACAAAAAUGGAAGCGGAGGUGGCUUGUCGCGCCGACGGGCUGAGCAGCUUGUAGCGGAGGAGGGCGUGGAGUCUCAGGACACCGUGACAUAUCUGCGCAAGGCCCUCGCCGAUGCUCGCCGCGAGCGUGACAUGUACAUGGAGCAGGUGGAACAAGCCGAGGAGGCGCAGCGCGCUAGUCAGAAUAGUUAAUAGCCCCCUCUCGCAGUACACGACACCACAUGAGAUGCAUCACGUGCAUGUCUUUCCUCUGCUUGGUUGAAAAGUGUUCGGCUGGUCUCGGGCGGUGGGAAACCCGAGCGGAUGUAUGUGCUCUAGCGGUAUUUUUUUCUGUUUCUCUUUUUGCAAGACUUGUGGCGUCUUGUGUUUUGUGCGUUUCGCGCUGUGCCUCAUGCGGACGGCACACGGGUACUCCCUCCCUUCUCCCUGCCGCCAGCGCCUGGACUUGCGGCCGACUUCUUCUUUUGUUGCGUUGUCUUUUAAUUUUCGUAGCAACACCCCAAAUACCCCAUAUAGGCAUACGUGUCUCUCCACACACUUACCACAGCUGUGUAACCGCAUCUUCUACAGUCUGUUGCCCUUCCACCUCCACCCCCUCCCUUCUCUGCUUCCGUGCGCAGAAGAGACGACAGGGCGAGGGACGCAGAUGAGGCGGUGCGCACGUGGGAGUGUAUCUGACCUUGUCUCGUAGAGGGGAGCCACAGCAGCCAUAUUAGCGUGUCUCGGCCGCUUUCCCCCUUUUUUCUUUUUGCUUCGUUGCUUUUUUUUUCUUCCGACGAGAAUUUUGCGUGCGCUGCCUCUUCGUUUCAUUGAAGUCACCCCUCCUCCCCCCGUACGCGCUGCUGUAGCAGCCGCAGUGGCCGCAGCUGUGAGUGGGGCGAGGUGCGUGGCUCCUCAUCCCUCCUGUGUAUGUGUGUGUUUCUCUUGACAUUGGCGCGUAUGUUAGAGCGCACGCUUCGCAUGCUUUCGUUUUUUGAUUUGUACAGCACAUGCUCCCGUGUCGCUGUUGUGUGUGUGUUGUGUGUUGUGUGUUGUGUGUUGUGUGUUGGUGUCGGUGCCGUACUUGUCUCCCUCCACCCAUUUCUCGCUCCUGUUCUGAUUUUUUGCUUCCCGCAUCCCUUCGCUCCGAAUCGCUCACUAACUUGCGUUUCCAAGAAUGAGGCGAGGUAGACACACGCUGCGCGAAACGGAGAGGCGGGGGUGUGGAGGCUUCUUGCUCACGAUGGGUGAUGACAUGCGUGACUUUCCACGUCUUCUGCAUACAGAAGCGAUUCUUGUCCACCUCUCAAACGAAAGCAAAGGAAGCAACGGCGGGCCACUCUCCCCCUACAUCCUCCACCCCACUCAGCCGUCUAGAACACACGGGCCGAGCUGUACAGGGGACCUGCGGUACGCGAAACAGACCUGUAUGUAAGUUGAGAGAGGGCGGAUCGAGGCUGUCCUAUCUUUGGUAUGUCUAGUCUUUCCGUCUAUUACGUCUGUAUAUCUCGGCGUGCCGUGUAGUC